GGGGCUUGCUAUUGGUGAUUUGUAAAUACGCCCUACAGGGUGUGGUUUGUGGUGUUUAAAAACCCUUGUUUCAAGGCGGUCUGAUCACUUUUUUAUCCUCCGUUUUUAGCUAAGGUACUAGCUAAAAA